rnacentral:lncRNA from 1 species
UCUCUCUCGAGCUCUCCGUCUCUCUCUCUAUCUCUCUGGACCCUCUCUCUCUCGAGGUCUCACUCUCUCCACAAUCUUUCUCGAACGAAACACUAUCACGAAGAACAAAUCGAAUAAUUGGUAUUCGAUUUGAAUACCCAUUUUUGUGGCUUCAAUUAAAAGGCUGUUAUUGUUUAUUUUAUGAUUUUGCAGGUGAUUAGAGCUUCAGAUUGUUGCUUCAACUCUUCUUCUUCGAUUAAUUGGUAAAUCUAUACACAUUUACACUUCUGCGAUUAAUUUGGGCUUUGUCCUCUUAAAAUAUCUUUUAUUUUGAUUUUUCAGUGGUGAUUAGGGCUUCAAAUUUGGGGCUUCUAUUGUAGAGCUAUCAUUAAGAUAAAUUGGGGUUUUUUCUGUCACUAAUUCAUAUGUAUAGUGCUAUGAUUAGUUAUGGUAGGCUGCGACUCUGCUUAGUUCUUUUACUUUGGCGCACCUACUGCGAUUCCAAAAGAAGAAUUUUAGACAGGGCUCAUAUCUUAACUUACUAGGAUUUAAGGAGACGCUCUAUAUCAGAACACUAGUACCUUGAUGCGUUUCUAGAUGUGUGUUGAUUUACUAUGUUAUAUUCUUUAUAAACUUCUCACAAUCUCUUGGCUUUCUGGUUGAGUAAUAUAUGGUUUAAAAAGUUAAGAUGUUAUAUGCUUCAUUCUAAGUUUACCUAUUUAUUACAGAAUAAAUGCCCUGUUUUGCUAAGAAGCAUCAAGAAUAUUGUGAUGCUUAAGUUAAUACAGGGGAGCACAUCCUAUACAUUUCGAGACGACACAUAUCAUGUUAUUAUAUAUUGAUUUACGUAAUAUUGUUUGGUAAAGUUGCUUAAGGAGGUAUAAGCUUAUAUUCAUCAUUAUCUAGUAGGAAAGUCAGUGGUAUCCAUAAGUUUAUAUUUAUCUUUCUAUAUUUUCUUCACUGAGCUAAAGAUGAUAAUGUCUCCUAGUUUAUGUUAAAACAUAUCAUAGGUCAGAAGAACAAUUUUGGUCCAAGUUGAGUGAGAACGAUGAUGAAACUUUAAAUGAAGAGGGACAAUCAAAGCAUAGCACUCUCAAUGGGAUCAGCUUUUUUUUGUUUGUUUCCUUAUCUAUUCAGAACUUUAGGCACGCAAACAUAAAACUGAUCUAAGCAUAUUUAUUGUGCUGAAGUGAAGGCCUUCGCUUUUGACGGUAGAUUCACCUAUAUCUGCCGAUUCUCUAUAUUUUAUUUUAAUUAGUAGAUGAACUUUAAUUCCACACAUAUAUAAACUCUGUAUUAUAUUUGUUUGUUCAUUUAUUAAUGAAGGUUUAUUAGCUAUCAAAUACCUCCAGGGGAGCUCAGUAGUGCAUCUGAUGGUGUCUAGCAGACUAGUAAUCUGGUAGGAGAAAUAUGUUAUAUUUUGCACUUACGGCACCAUUUUUAUCUCUCUUGCAGGUUAUGAAAUAUGUGCCUUAAUGGAAUAAUGGAUGCUCAUCUCCGCUACUUUAAACAGGUAUAUAUGUAUAUAUGAAUUGUUCUAUCUUUCAUGCUCUGCCUAGUUAGUAAAUUAUUAUUUAAUCUUCCCUUGUAUAUUGUCUCCACAUAUUCAAUGUAACAUAACAUCUUUAUUUUCUUAUAUUAAUGAUUUCUUACUUGAUUUUGUAGAGAGACUGAAUCCAGACCACUGGAGGCUUAGGGUGAGACGAUGGCAUGAUGGAGAGGAUGGAGC